rnacentral:tRNA from 1 species
GCCGAAGUGGUGGAAUUGGUAGACACGCCGGAUUCAAAAUCCGGUUCUGGAAACAGAGUGCGAGUUCAAGUCUCGCCUACGGCACCA